rnacentral:rRNA from 1 species
GGACCCGCACAAGUAGUGGAGCAUGUGGUUUAAUUCGAAGAUACGCGCAGAACCUUACCAACACUUGACAUGUUCGUCGCGACUUUAAGAGAUUAAAGUUUUCGGUUCGGCCGGACGAAACACAGGUGCUGCAUGGCUGUCGUCAGCUCGUGUCGUGAGAUGUUGGUUAAGUCCCGCAACGAGCGCAACCCUCACUUUUAGUUGCCAUCAUUAAGUUGGGCACUCUGAAAGAACUGCCAGUGAUAAGCUGGAGGAAGGUGGGGAUGACGUCAAGUCCUCAUGGCCCUUACGUGUUGGGCUACACACGUGCUACAAUGGUAUCUACAACAGGAAGCAAGACUGCGAAGUUAAGCA